rnacentral:piRNA from 1 species
CUUUUAUUUGGUUACAGGUGACACUUCAUC